rnacentral:rRNA from 1 species
UACGUAGGGACCGAGCGUUGUCCGGAAUCAUUGGGCGUAAAGAGCGUGUAGGCGGCCACUUAAGUCCUGCGUGAAAUCUUGCGGCUCAACCGCAAGCGGUCGUGGGAAACUGGGUGGCUAGAGUGCGGGAGAGGAGAGUGGAAUUCCUGGUGUAGCGGUGGAAUGCGCAGAUAUCAGGAAGAACACCCGUGGCGAAGGCGGCUCUCUGGAACGCAACUGACGCUGAGGCGCGAAAGCGUGGGGAGCAAACAGG